UCUGGUUGAUCCUGCCAGUAGUCAUAUGCUUGUCUCAAAGAUUAAGCCAUGCAUGUCUAAGUAUAAAUAGUAUACAGUGAAACUGCGAAUGGCUCAUUAAAACAGUUAUAGUUUAUUUGAUAAUUGACAAUUACAUGGAUAACCGUGGUAAUUCUAGAGCUAAUACAUGCUUAAACGCCCGACUUUAUGGAAGGGUGGUAUUUAUUAGACUGAAGCCAAUAUUCCUUGUGUCUAUUGCGGUGAUUCAUAAUAACUGAUCGAAUCUCUUUUUGAGAUAAAUCAUUCAAGUUUCUGCCCUAUCAGCUUUCGAUGGUAGUGUAUUGGACUACCAUGGCAGUAACGGGUAACGAAGAAUUAGGGUUCGAUUUCGGAGAGGGAGCAUGAGAAACGGCUACCACAUCUAAGGAAGGCAGCAGGCGCGUAAAUUACCCAAUCCUGACUCAGGGAGGUAGUGACAAGAAAUAGCAAACCGGGAACCUCAUGGUUUCACGGUAUUGCAAUGAGAACAAUUUAAAACCCUUAGCGAGAAUCAAGUGGAGGACAAGUCUGGUGCCAGCACCCGCGGUAAUUCCAGCUCCACUAGCGUACAUUAAAGUUGUUGCAGUUAAAAAGCUCGUAGUUGAACCUCUGUCUGGGGCUAGUUUUGGCUUUGGUCAGGCUAGUUCUAGGCAUCCGCCUACAAGACUUAGAGGGCAUUUAGUUGUUCACUAGGAGGAGUAGGCAUUUUACUUUGAAAAAAUUAGAGUGUUUAAGGCAGGCAAUCGCCCGCAUAUAUUAGCAUGGAAUAAUAGAAUAGGACACUUUUCCAUUUCGUUGGUUAUUGGAAUCGUGUAAUGAUUAAUAGGGACAGUUGUGGGCAUUUGUAUUUAAUUGUCAGAGGUGAAAUUCUUGGAUUUAUUAAAGACAAACUAACGCGAAAGCAUUUGCCAAGGAUGUUUUCAUUAAUCAAGAACGAAAGUUAGGGGAUCAAAGACGAUCAGAUACCGUCCUAGUCUUAACUAUAAACUAUUCCGACUCAAUGUUUGACUGGCUUAUAUAACCAGUUGAGCGUUGUAUGAGAAAUCAAAGUCUUUAGGUUCUGGGGGGAGUAUGGUUGCAAAGCUGAAACUUAAAGGAAUUGACGGAAGAGCACAACCAGGAGUGGAUUCUGCGGCUUAAUUUGACUCAACACGGGGAAACUUACCAGGUUAAAACAAUAGUGGGAUUGACAGUUUGAGAGCGCUUUCUUGAUUGGUUGGGUGGUGGUGCAUGGCCGUUCUUAGUUGGUGGAGUGAUUUGUCUGCUUAAUUGCGUUAACGAACGAGACCUUAACCUGCUUACUAGACUGGCGAUCAUCAAUCGUUAGCUCUUCUUAGAGGGAC
rnacentral:rRNA from 1 species